rnacentral:rRNA from 1 species
GUGGACAACCUACCCUUAGGUCGGGGAUAAACCCGGGAAACUGGGUAUAAUACCCGAUAGUCCUCGGAUGCUGGAAUGCACCGAGGUCUAAAGCUCCGGCGCCUAAGGAUGGGUCUGCGGCCUAUCAGGUAGUAGUGGGUGUAGCGUACCUACUAGCCUACGACGGGUACGGGUUGUGAGAGCAAGAGCCCGGAGAUGGAUUCUGAGACACGAAUCCAGGCCCUACGGGGUGCAGCAGGCGCGAAAACUUUACAAUGCUGGAAACAGCGAUAAGGGGACCUCGAGUGCCAGGUUACAAAUCUGGCUGUCGUGAUGCCUAAAAAGCAUUGCAUAGCAAGGGCCGGGCAAGACCGGUGCCAGCCGCCGCGGUAACACCGGCGGCUCGAGUGGUAACCGCUAUUAUUGGGUCUAAAGGGUCUGUAGCCGGCCGGAUAAGUCUUUUGGGAAAUCUGGCAGCUUAACUGUCAGGCUUUCAGAGGAUACUGUCUGGCUCGAGGCCGGGAGAGGUGAGAGGUACUUCAGGGGUAGGGGUGAAAUCUUGUAAUCCUUGAAGGACCACCAGUGGCGA